rnacentral:rRNA from 1 species
UACAGAGGUCUCAAGCGUUGUUCGGAUUCAUUGGGCGUAAAGGGUGCGUAGGUGGCGCGCUAAGUCAGGUGUGAAAUCUCGGGGCUUAACUCCGAAACUGCAUUUGAUACUGGCGUGCUUGAGGACUGGAGAGGAGACUGGAAUUCAUGGUGUAGCAGUGAAAUGCGUAGAGAUCAUGAGGAAGACCAGUGGCGAAGGCGGGUCUCUGGACAGUUCCUGACACUGAGGAACGAAGGCGAGGGGAGCAAACGGG